rnacentral:rRNA from 1 species
GAUGAACGCUGGCGGCGUGCUUAACACAUGCAAGUCGAACGGAAAGGCUCCUGCUUGCAGGGGUACUCGAGUGGCGAACGGGCGAGUAACACGUGGGUGAUCUGCCCUGCACUUCGGGAUAAGCCUGGGAAACUGGGUCUAAUACCGGAUAGGACCACAUUUUGGAUGGUGUGGUGGAAAGUUUUUCGGUGUGGGAUGAGCUCGCGGCCUAUCAGCUUGUUGGUGGGGUAAUGGCCUACCAAGGCGUCGACGGGUAGCCGGCCUGAGAGGGUGUACGGCCACAUUGGGACUGAGAUACGGCCCAGACUCCUACGGGAGGCAGCAGUGGGGAAUAUUGCACAAUGGGCGCAAGCCUGAUGCAGCGACGCCGCGUGGGGGAUGACGGCCUUCGGGUUGUAAACUCCUUUCGCUAGGGACGAAGCGCAAGUGACGGUACCUGGAGAAGAAGCACCGGCUAACUACGUG